AUUGAACGCUGGCGGCAGGCCUAACACAUGCAAGUCGAACGAGUGGCGGACGGGUGAGUAAUGUCUGGGACACUGCCUGAUGGAGGGGGAUAACCACUGGAAACGGUAGCUAAAACCGCAUACCAUCGGAUGUGCCGAGAUGGGAGUGGCGAGUGGGUGGGGUAAAGGCUAACCUAGGCGACGAGCCCGAGCUGGUCUGAGAGGAUGACCAGCCACACUGGAACUGAGACACGGUCCAGACGCCUACGGGAGGCAGCAGUGGGGAAUAUUGCACAAUGGGCGCAAGCCUGAUGCCGCCAGGCCGCGUGGAUGAAGAAGGCCUUCGGGUUGUAAAGUACUUUAAGCGGGGAGGCGUUACCCGCAGAAGAAGCACCGGCUAACUCCGUGCCAGCAGCCGCGGUAAUUC
rnacentral:rRNA from 1 species